GUAGUCUGNAACCCGACUACAUGAAGCUGGAAUCGCUAGUAAUCGCGGAUCAGAAUGCCGCGGUGAAUACGUUCCCGGGUCUUGUACACACCGCCCGUCACACCAUGGGAGUCGGAAAUGCCCGAAGUCUGUGACCCAACCAUUAAGGAGGGAGCAGCCGAAGGCAGGUCGGAUGACUGGGGUGAAGUCGUAACAAGGUAUC
rnacentral:rRNA from 1 species